UGAACUCCUGGGCAGACGGCGAUGGCGACACAGCCAGGUCCUGGCAGACCACUUCUGGUCCAACUUUAUUCGCUACCAUCUUCCUAACCUACAGAAGCGACACAAGUGGCACAAGAAUACAGAGAAUCUUGCAGCUGGACAGGUUGUGAUGGUGGUCGAUUCACAACUGCCCAGGGCCCAGUGGCCGAUCGGGAGGAUUGUCAAGACAUGUCCAGGCUCAGACGGUCGAGUCAGGGCAGCUGAAGUGAGGAUAAAGGGACAGACUUAUCUUCGACCAGUUGUGUGCCUGGUGCGACUGCCAGCUUGGGAAGAUGAAGAUGACUCUGGCUGAACACCUGAUAAGACUUUCCUCUAGUUUUCGAAUUUAUAACUAAAUUCGGGGGCGGCUAUGUCAGAAAGGGUUAUAGUUAUGGCAGUUUUACAAGAUACAUUUGUAAAGUUACCCCACUCUUAUUUUGGUGGUCCAGUUUGUGACAUCACUUCCUCUAGAUAGUCACUUCCUGUAAAGCCGUUUCUACCAUUUUGUCUAAGCUGUUGGUGAUGGCAGACAGCCGCGUGUGCGUUCAUGACUGAUAUACCACACGGAACCACAGAAAUGUACAGAUGUCCAUACUUCAACUGUCAUUAAAUACGUAAAACUGUC